UCUGCAGCCUGUCUUUUAGGUUUAAAGCCCUCUCAUGUGUAUCUCUAGUCUAUUCUUAGCAUGAUCAUCUUUUAUGCAUGCUACAUGGAGUUUGUUGUUUUACCAUAACCAAAUUACCUAAACCACGCUGAAAACGUGAAUGUAUUUAGCGUACUUAUAGGCUAUAAUAUUCAUAUAUUUAUGUAUAAACAAUUAUUUAAAGAGGGUACGAACAAUGUCGUAAGUUGUUAUGUUGCUCAGUUCACUCCAGCGAGUGCUAUCCGGAAGGUGGUGUUGCAGCAAACUACUUAUGACACAAGAUGACGCUGUUGACUCAGGUUGAUCGAUGUCAUACCUCAAGGAUUCGGUACAAAGCGUUGACUGGAAGUGCCACCAAAGAGGAGCACUGGACAGUGACUCAUCAGCAGGAUUUGCUAGCCGUCCUGACUCCCUGAUGGCCCACUGGUGGCCCGGCUGUCCUGACGGCUGUGACUCUGCUCUGUCAGCAGGGAGUCAUCUCUUCCAGACAGUCUCACACACAACCGAAACCUGCUGUCAGCAGAAGGAGUCUGGCCAAGACAGGUCUCUGGCAUCAUCUCUUCGUCAUCUUUCCGUCAUCCCUCCGCCAUCCCUCCAUCCCUAUCUUCCGUAUAUAAGGAUGAAUUUGGCACAACAUGUUCUGUUAUCUCUGUCAGAACUGGUUUGAAGCAAACUUCCCCCUGUAAGUAUGUGCAGUAUGUGUGUGUGUGUGUGUGUGUGUGUGUGUGUGUGCGUUGGUGUGUACCAUGAUUAGUUAACCGUACACUGGCACCGGAGUCAUGGCUCACCACUGAAAGAUGUUCGUGAGAUACCUGGCACCACACAGCAUUGAUUUACACUCUCCGCCCCAUCCUUGUGCGUUACCGUGUGCGCACACAUGUACUGACCCAACCUAUCCAUGUGUUUGAGCAUGUGAGUGUGUGUGUGUGUGUGUGUGAGUGAUGUAUGGCGUACACACAGUGCUAUUGGGCAACAUCUCCAGCUCUGCACUGCUACCUGCCCCCACAGACUCUGCACGAGAGAGGGAACGAGCCCUGAACGCACAACGCGGGGUCAGGGGAAAGCCUAGACACAACCCAAUCACAAACGGGGAGAAAAUAAAGCCCACCUCUUCCAUUCUGCCUCUCACUCAAAAACUGAUUGUGGUUUUAAAACUCCCCAUAGAUGACAUCAUACCAGUGCUUUGGGUCCUGGUGUACCAGUAUGGAUACAAGUUUAAGCCUCUAUGAAGCUGUAAUAUAUUUGAUUGAAUGAUCCCUUUAGCGAGAGCAGGAGCCAGAGGAUAAACAACCAUCUACUGGCCCAGAGGGACGGAUGAGUUUCCUAAACAUGUUUCUGUUCUGCCAACACCUUAUUGUAAAACAGAAAUGAUAUUGUUCUACUGGCAGCUGGAAAUAAAUGUUUUCCUCCAGAGAAGGCCUCCAUGCUGUGUCAAGCGAUCGCUCUGUUUAUCAUUGUUUACCAGGCGACUGAGGCUACUCUACCGUGUCUUUCCUGGAGGUGCUAAAAGGCUUCAAAAGAUUCAAAGGAGAUUUACUGGCAAUUUACGCGAACAAGGAAUUGUUUUCUUGGGCUUCUGUGGCUUAUAAACCCAUACAGAACGUUUGAGACCCAACUUCCCAGAGACUGUCGCAUCGCAGUGAGCAAAGCUUUGGCCAGGCAUUUCGUACAGGUGGCCCCUACAGUGGGGACCAAGGGCUGUGGUCUCUCUCUCUGGACCUAAAUGAUGGUCUUCCCUGGGGAAGAGCCGGCUUGGAGCCCCUCCAGCCCACUGAGUUGAAA